UCUAAAGAUGAGCCAGCUAAGCUGGCUACUAAACUCCAUGUUGUAUGCCUAUUUCUAUUCCUUGAAUGAAAUUUAUGUUUGUUCUUUAAUCUAUUUGUAUAAGACUCGCCAUUCUUGCAAUUAAUUUGAUGAGUGUUUCAGAUAUUACAACAUAUGAAAUCCAGCGGGAAGGAACAUUCAAUGCCAUAUCAAGUGAUAUCAAGGGCUAAAUUUAUAUCUGCAGAAGAAAGAGUUGGUGUCACUUUUGAUGAUUUUCCUGGCCAGGAAUAUAUAAAGAGGGAAUUGUGAGAGAUUGUACAAAUUUUAAAGAAUGAUGAGGAGUUUCAAGACAAAGGAAUUUAUUGUCCAAAAGGUGUGCUUCUCGAUGGACCUCCAGGAACUGGUAAAACUCUACUGGCUAAAGCCAUCGCUGGGGAAGCAGGGUUGCCUUUUUUGCGGCAAAUGGCACAGAUUUUGUAGAGAUGUUUGUAGGGGUUGCUGCAUCACGUGUUAAGGAUCUUUUUGCUAGUGCAAGGUCAUUUUCACCUUCUAUCAUAUUUAUUGAUGAGAUAGAUGCUAUUGGUAGCAAGCGUGGAGGACCUGACAUUGGUGGAGUAAGAUUCAGACAACUUUUAUAUUCUUUUUG